rnacentral:rRNA from 1 species
ACUCAAAGGAAUUGACGGGCACCCGCACAAGCGGUGGAGCAUGCUGUUUAAUUCGAAAAUACGCGAAGAACCUUACCUAGGUUUGACAUCCCGGGCAAAGCUAUAGAAAUAUAGUGGAGGCUAUCCCGGUGACAGAUGGUGCAUGGUUGUCGUCAGCUCGUGUCGUGAGAUGUUUGGUUAAGUCCAACAACGAGCGCAACCCCUAUUUUCAGUUGCUAACAUUAAGUUGAGAACUCUGAAGAUACUGCCGGUGCAAGCCGGAGGAAGGUGGGGAUGAGGUCAAAUCAUCAUGCCUCUUACACCUAGGGCUACAGGCGUGCUACAAUGGCUGGUACAACGAGUCGCAACACGGUGACGUGAAGCAAAUCUCUUAAAGCCAGUCCCAGUUCGGAUUGGAGUCUGCAACUCGACUCCAUGAAGUUGGAAUCGCUAGUAAUCCCGAAUCAGAAUGUCGGGGUGAAUACGUUCUCGGGUGUUGUACACACCGCCCGU